UUAUUUUUAAUUAGGUUUUAAAAACAAAACAAAUUCAGUAGAAGUUGCUUUUUAGAAACACGGAUAAUCUAUAUAGGUAAUAUUACAAUUGAAUUUUGAAACAAAAUGUCUAGAGACAUACUAGUAGAAACCAAUUGCCUAUUAGAAACAAUCGGUUAAUUGACACAAUUCAUCUUGGUUCAAAAGUGUUCCUAAUAAGUGACUUCUACUGUAAAUUCAACAUUUUUUUCUCGUGAUUAUAGAAAAAAAAAACUUGAAGUUGUAUUACCUUCUGUGUAUGAAUCUGGGAUUUAAAAAAAUGAUUGUUUAACGAAACAGCUCAAUCGUCUGGUUUCCGUUUGAUUUUGGACCAUAAUAUUGCUGUAAUGGAUGAUGAUUUGGCUGUUAACUAGUUUACACUCUACAGCCCAUCAAACUAAGAAGAAAAGUCAAACUUUCUGAAAUGUUUUCAUGAUGUUUUAGACUCAGUGUUAGUUAAAUUACUUUGGAAAAGUAAAGUUAUAUUACUCGUUAAAUUAAAUAUUUUUAUUUAAAUUA